rnacentral:rRNA from 1 species
GAGCAAACAGGAUUAGAUACCCUGGUAGUCCACGCCGUAAACGAUGAGUGCUAGGUGUUGGGGGGUUCCACCCUCAGUGCUGAAGUUAACACAUUAAGCACUCCGCCUGGGGAGUACGACCGCAAGGUUGAAACUCAAAGGAAUUGACGGGGGCCCGCACAAGCAGUGGAGCAUGUGGUUUAAUUCGAAGCAACGCGAAGAACCUUACCAGGUCUUGACAUCCUUUGACCACUCUAGAGAUAGAGCUUUCCCCUUCGGGGGACAAAGUGACAGGUGGUGCAUGGUUGUCGUCAGCUCGUGUCGUGAGAUGUUGGGUUAAGUCCCGCAACGAGCGCAACCCUUGACCUUAGUUGCCAGCAUUCAGUUGGGCACUCUAAGGUGACUGCCGGUGACAAACCGGAGGAAGGUGGGGAUGACGUCAAAUCAUCAUGCCCCUUAUGACCUGGGCUACACACGUGCUACAAUGGAUGAUACAAAGGGUUGCGAAGCCGCGAGGCCAAGCCAAUCCCAAAAAGUCAUUCUCAGUUCGGAUUGUAGGCUGCAACUCGCCUACAUGAAGCCGGAAUUGCUAGUAAUCGCGGAUCAGCAUGCCGCGGUGAAUACGUUCCCGGGCCUUGUACACACCGCCCGUCACACCACGAGAGUUUGUAACACCCGAAGUCGGUG